CAGCAGUAGUCUUUGUCGGCUAAACCGGUUAUUCCCGGUAUAUUAUUGGAGAAAUGGUUAUUAACUAACCGGCUCGGAGAGUUACCUCUGCUCUUCGCCGUCGUGCUCUCGUCUUUUCGGGUAAUCCCGGAAGACACCAAUGAUAACAAUCGGCAAAAGUUCUCGGAUCCAAUCUCUGCUCAGGUGUUAUGAGCUUCCCAGCUCGAGAACCGUAGAAUGAGUUCUCACCGUGCUUCGAGAUUGAUUGCGGCAUGAUUACUGGAUCGGUCUUCCCGUCUCUCUUGUCUGGAGGAUCAGCAUUUGAUUCGACUAGGAAAGGUGACCAGUAGAAGGCUAUGGUUGUAUUGUACUCCUACACAUUCAAAAUUAGUCGAGAAGGUCUUUUUGCCUGAGGGAACCACGGAUUGGACCAUGCAAACCAUGGAUUGCCACUGAUUAUGAUGUAUCGAAUCACCAACGAACAUCAGUUUCUUUCCCCUGAGUUUCUCUAGUAGCAGCUUUCCAUCGAACCUAUGACCGAAAAGAAAGUGUUUUGAGAGAAGAAGAAAGUGUUACUCAUGUUGCUUAUCUUGUUCUCAGAAAUCUGGAACUGACCUCGGCAAAGAGCAAUCUCGAGGUUGCCAUCUCCAUUUCUGGAUGUGUGACGUUAUCAGGAACCCAUUUUCCCGUGAAAACAUCACAUACGUCUAAUGGCACCAGACUGAUCUUCUUGUCAUUAUCUUCUUU